CCCUUAGAUGAUUUGGGCUGCACGCGCGCUACACUGACUCUAACAAUGAGCAACUGUCUGGCCUGAGAUGGCUGGGUAGCCUUUUCAACCCAUGUCAUGAUUGGGCUAGAUUUUUGUAAGUCUUGAUCUCUAACGAGGAAUCCCUAGUAUGCGUGAAUCAUCAAUCCAUGCAGAUUAUGUCCCUGCCCUUUGUACACACCGCCCGUCGCUCCUACUGAUUGGGUGAUCCGGUGAGCUGUUCGGCCAUAGCAAUGUUUCUUGAGCAGGGCAAUGAAUGUUUCGCAAACCUUGCCACUUAGAGGAAGGAGAAGUCGUAACA
rnacentral:rRNA from 1 species